CAAUAAAUGCCAACCUGCCUCCCAGUCGUCCCCUCCUUAUCUUUACAAGGCUGCAGAACAUGCAAGCUAGUGAUGUGGGGGUUCUCUCAUAACCCUCAGUCCCCAGGUGGGUAGAUGGCAGGUUGAAUAAAGAGAAGCUAGUGAUGUGGGGGUUCUCUCAUAACCCUCAGUCCCCAGGUGGGUAGAUGGCAGGUUGAAUAAAGAGAAGCUAGUGAUGUGGGGGUUCUCUCAUAACCCUCAGUCCCCAGGUGGGUAGAUGGCAGGUUGAAUAAAGAGAAGCUAGUGAUGUGGGGGUUCUCUCAUAACCCUCAGUCCCCAGGUGGGUAGAUGGCAGGUUGAAUAAAGAGAAGCUAGUGAUGUGGGGGUUCUCUCAUAACCCUCAGUCCCCAGGUGGGUAGAUGGCAGGUUGAAUAAAUAGAAGCUUGUGAUGUGGGGG
rnacentral:lncRNA from 1 species